rnacentral:lncRNA from 1 species
AAAAACGUAGUUGACUGCGCUAGAAGUAAAGUCGACUGUAAAGUAAAAGUGCAGGGAUAGAGAAAAUCAAACACUGGUUUUUGUACUGGUUCGACCAACAAUGCCUAUAUCCAAUGUCCUUCCAACCCAGGAAGCAAAUGCACUAUAAUGGUUGCGGUUUUUACAACAAGGAAUUUAUAGAAGACCUCCACGUCAAAAAUAUAAAUCUCCUCUCUAACCCUUAUCCAAAAUAUAGGCAACAAAAACAGCAAGACUUGCAGCAAGAUGUCCCCUCUCCUGCAAUCUGCAAAUAACCACUUUGAACAGUCCUCAAAGUGAACCAGACUCCAC